GACGAACGCUGGCGGCGUGCCUAAUACAUGCAAGUGGGACGCAAGAGAACACACUGUGCUUGCACACCGUGUUUUCUUGAGUCGCGAACGGGUGAGUAACGCGUAGGUAACCUGCCUAUUAGCGGGGGAUAACUAUUGGAAACGAUAGCUAAUACCGCAUAAUAUUAAUUAUUGCAUGAUAAUUGAUUGAAAGAUGCAAGCGCAUCACUAGUAGAUGGACCUGCGUUGUAUUAGCUAGUUGGUAAGGUAAGAGCUUACCAAGGCGACGAUACAUAGCCGACCUGAGAGGGUGAUCGGCCACACUGGGACUGAGACACGGCCCAGACUCCUACGGGAGGCAGCAGUAGGGAAUCUUCGGCAAUGGACGAAAGUCUGACCGAGCAACGCCGCGUGAGUGAAGAAG
rnacentral:rRNA from 1 species